CAGAGUUUACUACUUAUGUCUUGUUGAUUUAUAAUGUAAGAUCAUGCUUAUAUACAUCAAAAUAUGUAGCGUUAUUAAUGCUACAUGCAUAUAUACAUUAAAAGAUGUAGCCUUGUUGGUGCUACAUGCUUAUAUAUAUCAAAAGAUGUAGCGCUAUUGGUGCUACAUGGUUAUAUACAUCAAAAGAUGUAGUGCUAUCGCUGUUUAACGAAACAGAAAAUAUAGAUAUUACUCUAGUCAAGACCUUCUAAAAUCUUCUACUUUACUUUGUCUUCUUGGUUUAUCAUGCAUCAUUUUUUUGCUUUUUCCCUAAGAGUGGAUACUCCUGAUUUUCUUCUGUUGUGGAAGAUCAUCUUUGUCAUCAGUUGUUUCCUGUUAAGAAAGAGUUUUGUUAUUCAUAAUAAUCUAAUGAGAUAAUGAACGGAGACAAGCCAAGUAAAAUUGUUGGCACAAAUAAUUUUUAUUUUGAAGGAUGUUUACUUGUAGCAUGGUGUGUAUUAGGGCUGGACGAAAUACUCGUGGCUCGAUAACUCGCUCGACUCGGCUCGUUAGUAGCUCGGCUCGACUCGACUCGUUUUAAUUUUGUAGCGAGCCAAGCUAGCAUUCUAGCUCGGUUCUCUAAUGAGCCGGCUCGGGUUAGCUCAUGAGCUAGCUCGCGAGCCAAACGAGCCAAGCCAUAACACAAGUUUGUCUAGUUGUUGGUGUCAUCUCAUCUCUCAUAGUCUUGUUUUUCUCGUAGUUAUGAUAUAUGAUAUGAACAUGUGUGGAUGAGCAAUGUGCUUAAAUAUUUGCAUUAUUGUAUGACUACAUACCUAAAUUGCAUAUUUAAUAUUUGAUUAUUGGUUAUGGUUUUGUGAACUUUGUUUCUAGCAACAUAUGAUGUUAGUGUUGUGCAAUGAAAUGUUACAUGUUUGUGUAAUGGAUGAUGAAUUGCUUUAUAAUGAUGCUUGUUGCUAUUUUAUUAUAAUAAAGGUUUGUAAAUAUGUAAGUUAAUACAUAUUUAGUUAUUUAAUUUAAUAUUAAAAGUUAGAAGCUAGGACGAUGAUAUGAUAAUAAUAUUAUAAAGGUUUUGGGUUUAUAGUGUUAAACACUUAAAAUAUGAUUUUUCGGUUAUAUAUAUAUUUAUGUGUGUGUACAUAGAUCUUUGUAUUUAGUUGUGUGGCUCGCGAGCCUAACGAGCUGGCUCGAGCUUUCUAACGAGCCGAGCCAAGCUAGAUGUUUAGCUCGUUAGUCUAAGGAGCCAAGCCGAGCUGGCUCGUUACAGUAACGAGCCGAGCCAUAAUGAGCCGAGCUGGCUCGAUAUCCACCCCUAGUGUGCAUGGGGAUGACAAUACUGAAAAGCAACUAUUAUUACACUGUUCUUCACAUGCUAUUGUGUUCCCAAUAAAAAGCAAUUAAAAGUGUACGUAUGGAGUCCAAGUAAGGCCCUGUUUAGAAGCACCCACUUUUUAAAAAACUGGUUUAUAGAAAUUGAGGUGGUUCCAAACAUACCCAUUUAUGACUCAGUUUAUAGAGAUUAGAUUCUCAGUUAAAAACUAAGAAGCUAGCCUCUCCUAACUGUAAGUUGUUGUCCAUGUUAUUCGUGUGUGCUUGGUUCAUAUAAAUCAAAGACCACGGGGUGAAAAAAUUUGGAAAAGCUUCGCUUUGUUUCACCAAGAGCAUCUGAAAAAGCAGUCUUCUAAUAUUACAAGUUUUGAACCGCCUUAAAUAUAUUUGUUCAAAUUUAUAAGUUGUAAGAAGGAAAUGAGACCAAUGAACUUUUCACACAUCGGAUAUCACAUCUUUAGUACAAGUGUUUGUGUAGUAUGUGCAUUGUGUCUUUAAUCAGAUGAGUUGUUAGCUAUGCAUUAAAUCCAAAAAAUGCAUAAGUGCAUCAAGUAGUAUGUAGAAAUAGCAGCGCCUUGCAUGGUCCAUCUCCAGGAGUUGCUCUGCUUUGUUUUAUCAUUCAUUUUCUUUCUAACAUGUCGAUAUUGAUGUGAUUAUCUAUUUGAGCAUUUUAUCGUACAAUUGAGAUUCGACCUUCAUUUGUGAGGAGAGAGUAUCACGGAACCAUACAACUACCAUGGUAAAAAAAUCUAAAGAGAAAGAUGAGCAAGAGGAAGAACAAAUCGUUGCAAGUAGAAAAAUAGAGAAGUUGGGAGAAAUGUUUUUUUAUUUGGCAAGUUGGAAAGGCAGCAGCGCUAGAGCAGAGGGGGUAAAAAGUCAUAUUUUAGCUUCAAAUAUUCCGAUAUAAACAAUGUAGCGCAAAUACAGAUUAAAAGUUCUGGAACCCUAGCUUGAACUAAUCUGUAAGAAUGAGGAAAAAAUCAAAGUUCAAUCUCACCUCAAAGGAAGCACUUGGAAGUGGAUCUUCGGGCUGUACGCUUGUCGGUGCACUCCUCCUGUCCUCUUUCGCCUGGACGCUCGCCG
rnacentral:lncRNA from 1 species